UAAUCUUUGCUCUAAGUAUGUAAUGGCAUGAAAUUACCCCUCUAGAAGCAAGAUUUGCUUUAAAGAUUUGCUUGCAAGUGUUGUGGAGUACUGAACAUCUCUUUCUAGAUAUGUGAGAGCAAUAUUUUAAGACAUCACAUACCAGUCUGACUUUGAUCAGAAUAAAGCGCUGGUUUCCAGGGACUAAAAAAAGUAUUCACAAAAAUGUAAAAGUGAAAUGAAAGUUAAAGAUAUCUAAAAAAACAGAGUGGUAUCCAAAAAUAGCCGAGCCGUAGGCACCUGGGAUAUAAGUGUACACAAUUAAAGGGUAUUACAGUUAAUUAUUGUUAUUUCUAUAUUUAAUAUUGUUAUUCUUAUUGGUAUCAUCAUCAUCAAUAUGAUAGAACUUUCUAAAAAAAAUAAGUAACUUUUUUCAUUCACAAAAAAUCAUUUUCAGAAUCAUAACUUGAGUCCCUCAUAGAAAGUAAUUAAAAAUAUAGGUUUUGCAUAUAUAGCAUUAGCAUUUAAGGUAGUAUGGCACACCCCUUUUAAAACAUUCAAGGGUGGGGAUCCAAAUAAUGCCUUGUUUAAAAUUCCAUCUUACAGCAAAUGGUUUCUCUAUAGUUGUUCUGUGAGAGCUUUGGUUAGUUGGAACCAUGUGAGGUCGGUAAAACACAACAAAGAAAAAAAGGACAUAUGACAUGGAACUGCUAUUAAAAUAAAUGUCUGAAAAUGUAUGUCAAACUUCUGAUAAGAGAAAGUGAGAUCCUUACUGGUCCUAAAUCCACUAAUAACUACAAGUAUUAUCACAUAACAUCUACAACUAAUUACAAGGAGUUAGAGGGAGAAAAAGGGGGUGGGGCAGAGGAAAAAGCCAGAGAAAAGGAGAACGACAAAGAAGAUCCUAGACCACUAGACUGGUAUCAAAGACAGCAAGCACUCUGGUACAAGUUAAUCGUGAUUUCUUUACGCACUAUUGAAAUACAUGGAUGAACAACAAAAGAUUGUAUGUGGUGACGGAAUGGAAAGAGAAAUCGAUGGAUGCACAGUACAUUUUAAUAAUAUAAUAUUACAUUAUCAA
ensembl:lncRNA